CUUCAUUCUAUUAGACUUUGUGGGCCAUGCUAUCUUUGCCUUGACUACUCAAUUCUGCCAUUGUAG